CCCGGCACAAGCGGCGGAGCAUGUGGAUUAAUUCGAUGCAACGCGAAGAACCUUACCUGGGUUUGACAUACACCGGAAAACCGUAGAGAUACGGUCCCCCUUGUGGUCGGUGUACAGGUGGUGCAUGGCUGUCGUCAGCUCGUGUCGUGAGAUGUUGGGUUAAGUCCCGCAACGAGCGCAACCCUUGUCUUAUGUUGCCAGCACGUAAUGGUGGGGACUCGUAAGAGACUGCCGGGGUCAACUCGGAGGAAGGUGGGGACGACGUCAAGUCAUCAUGCCCCUUAUGUCCAGGGCUUCACACAUGCUACAAUGGCCAGUACAGAGGGCUGCGAGACCGUGAGGUGGAGCGAAUCCCUUAAAGCUGGUCUCAGUUCGGAUCGGGGUCUGCAACUCGACCCCGUGAAGUCGGAGUCGCUAGUAAUCGCAGAUCAGCAACGCUGCGGUGAAUACGUUCCCGGGCCUU
rnacentral:rRNA from 1 species